UAUUAAGAUCGAAGAAUACGAACAUGCAUUCUGUAUAUAAACCUAAAUUCUGCCAAAAACCCACGAGCUCUAUCAGAUCAGAGCCUCCAAUCUACUGCCGCGUCUGAGCCUUAGCUAGAGUAGAGAUGAAGGUUGUCGCUGCAUAUUUGCUCACUGUUUUGGGCGGCAACGCCAGCCUCUUAGCCAAGGACUUGAAGACCAUUCUCGCCUCCGUUGAAUUAACUGAACGAAAAAUUUGAACUGAUUCAAUUGGAAUUGUAACUGCACAGCCAUAUUAGUUAUCAUUGGAUCUGUCACUUGGUGAUGGCUGAUCUCCGGGCACCCCUUUUGGCUUUUUUAACUCUCACUUUGAUCCUCGAUUGAGUUCUGAAAAGCCAAAACCCCUUUAAUUCUAUGGUCUUCUGAGUGAAUGGCUUCAGCUCUUUUUGCAAGGACUCUUUUGGGUCAUCGCCUUUUUCACUCUUCUGCACACUCUCUCUCUCCAAAGCCCCAAAUCCUCACUUCCCUGCUCAAUUGAUCUCACGAGGAAUUUUCUUAGUGGUAAUAUACUGAGUGAAUGGGCUUCUGCAAAGUUGGAAUAUUUGUAAAUUCAGUUCUUAACUCCAUAUUCUUUGUUGUCCAAUAAUGACUUAUAAUGAUUGAACUUUGAGUAAACUGCAGGUCCUUUAAUGUGAACAACUUAACUGGACCAAUCUCUGUCUUCUUGGGAUACAUCAGCAAUCUAAAGUACUUGAACCUUGAGACUAACAUGUUUUCUGGAACUGUUCCUCCUGAGAUUGGGAAGUUGGUUAACUUGUAGAAUCUGAACUGCAUGAGAGAGUAUUAGUAUUGAAGGCUUGAAGGUGCAAUAUUGAAACGUUGCUCAUAUUUGGAUAAGAGAACGUACAGUAUACUAUGACACUAUCUUAAAUGUGGUUGUAAUUGUUUCUUAUAUCAAUGCUGUGAUUUGGUGUUAAAGCAUCUUUCAGUCAUGCAAAAACAUAGGCUGAGGGACUUUUAGUGGAGGUGAUGCUCUAAACCCUGAAAAUAAGGUGUUAAUUGAUCGCUGGAUGUUGGAAAAGAUGAAGGAUGACGAACGCCUCAAUGAGGAAAGAGUACAUUCGGAGAUGGUGAGAACUUUCGAUAUUGAAGCUAUGAGGACAGCCGCUCCACCUGCACUCGUUGUGUUUAAAAGCCUCAAAAGUUUAUCAGAGUGUUGAAGUCCCAGAAUCUGUGAUGAACUUGACUUCGAAAAGGGGUUCUUUAGCCAGAAAGGCAAGAAAGAAUGCAGAAAGCAUUGUAAGAGACCAGGCAGGAAUGGCAAGAGAGCAGUUUCAGAUUGCUGCAAAAGCAGGAUGUGAUCUUGGACAGAAAUGGUUGGAAAGACUUGACGAGGAAGAGAAUCAUCUAUUGACCGAAGAUUAGAAGAUUAGUAGAGUAUUCAUUAAGUUAUUUUUUCUAGUUCAUUUUGUAGUCACUUCAGACUUAUUUUGUAUGUAUAUUAAUGUAUUUUAGUAUGUAAUAUAGUCCUUUUGGUGAUUUUCA